UGACAGUUCGCCGUCAGUCUUUUAAGGGUCUGUCAAAUAUUGUUUUUUUACUACAUAUUUGAUGAUUCUAUUUGUAUUAAAUAUGAAAUGCGUUGAAUAGUCACCAUUUCACAUUAUGGAUUUCCCCUCAAAGUAAAGGGUAGAUGGCAGACCGCGACAAUCCAGCGGUGCCGUUCGCGGCGGGCUUCGUGCUGGGCGCCUUGGUUACUGUCCUCGGCUACAAGCUGUUCUCCAGAUGUCCGCCCGGGCAGACACACCAGGUCGGCGCUAAGGUCAAGUGCACCUGCAAGAAGGGAAGUAAAGAAGAGUGCAAGAUGCACUGCAUACGCGGUGACCACAAAUGUUCCUGAACUUCAUGACACGCAGUAAAGAUGAAGAAAUAAUCCGCCUGUCUCUGUGUUCUGCCAAAUUCUGUCACUUAUCUGUCAAUACUUGAACAAUAUCUGUCAAAUUAAAAUGUGUUCGUG